rnacentral:misc_RNA from 1 species
AGGGUUUUGGAGGAGAGGAAGGCGGACCAUGCCUUACAAGUGCAUUUGAUACGAGAAUGGUGAGAGUAAGGGACCAUGGAGAGAAUUUGGGCUGCGAUGUCGUUUGGGAGACCGGGAAUUAGAGUCACAGUCUCGUCGAUUGACAGCAGUUGCGGAGACGCCGAAUAUGAAGAAGACAAGGACGGAAAUUGAUCCAUUUCUAUUCUUCUUCAAUUUAGAUAAAAUCAAAAUCAAUCAAAUCAAGCCAAGGCAUACACAUCUAUCUCCCACCAGCCUCCCAAUCUGAACAUCUAUUCACUAUACACAAGCGAUCAAAGCUCUGAAAGAAUUGACAAAUUCAGUAAUAAACGAGCAAGAUGAAUUAAGAAGCUUAAGUCAUCUAAAAUUCUCAGUUGCUCUCUUUAUGGACAUGGAAAUUAUAAUUUGAAAAUGAGAAGUCUCGUAUCUUCAUAGAGAAGCACGACCCGGAGGAGAUGAUUUGGUUGGCGUUUCUGUUGCUUAUCGACUAAGCUUUUGCUGCACUUUCCAGAGAUCAAGGAAAGUAAGCACUUGGGCCUUUUUGGGCCUUUCUCGUGUAUCAGCCGUUUACGGUUAAUGAACACGUGGAAUGCCUCUGUUAACGUGGUUCUGUGUUUGCCUGCGGACAGAAAGAGAAGGAAUUGGUAAUGGAUGGAGGCCAUGUAAGAGCUGAGCUACGUGUCAAGUCCUUAUUAGUAACUUUUUUUAGCCUGAGUGGUUUAGUUUUGUAGUCUGUCA